CCUACGGGAGGCAGCAGUGGGGAAUAUUGCACAAUGGGCGAAAGCCUGAUGCAGCAACGCCGCGUGAGCGAUGAAGGCCUUCGGGUCGUAAAGCUCUGUCCUCAAGGAAGAUAAUGACGGUACGUGAGGAGGAAGCCCCGGCUAACUACGGGCCAGCAGCCGCGGGAAGACGUAGGGGGCUAGCGUGAGCCGGAAUUACUGGGCGUAACGGGUGCGUAGGUGGGGUCUGUAGUCCGGGGUGAAAGGCUACGGCUCAACCGGAGUAAGCCUUUGAAACUGGGGAACUUGAGUGCAGGAGAGGAGAGUGGAAUUCCUAGUGUAGCGGUGAAAUGCGUAGAUAUUAGGAGGAACACCCGUUGCGAAGGCGGCUCUCUGGACUGUAACUGACACUGCGGCACGAAAGCGUGGGGAGCAAACAGGAUUAGAUACCCCAGUAGUC
rnacentral:rRNA from 1 species